CAGUAGCCGCGGUAAUACGUAGGGUGCGAGCGUUAAUCGGAAUUACUGGGCGUAAAGCGUGCGCAGGCGGUUGUGUAAGACAGGUGUGAAAUCCCCGGGCUUAACCUGGGAACUGCGCUUGUGACUGCACAGCUAGAGUAUGGCAGAGGGGGGUGGAAUUCCACGUGUAGCAGUGAAAUGCGUAGAGAUGUGGAGGAACACCGAUGGCGAAGGCAGCCCCCUGGGCCAAUACUGACGCUCAUGCACGAAAGCGUGGGGAGCAAACAGGAUUAGAUACCCCUGUAGUCCCUGUCUCUUAUCC
rnacentral:rRNA from 1 species